ACCGCGGCUUCGCUGCGGACGCAGCGCCCAGGCCCCGGCGGCUUCGGGAGCCAGCGGGCACCCUUCCUCCCUGCGAGAUUCCUUUCCAUUUCAAGGAGGAAAGUCAAGAUAUUUUUACUCGGUGGAAGAAUGAUGUAGUUUCAUCCUAACCUUCUUUUCUUAUGCUUCCAGAUCCCCUCUGGAAGGUUACGAUGGGAAUGAGCCUGACCACUUGGACGGUUUCCGCGACUUGUUGCCUCUGCCCGCAAGUUCGUCCUUCAGAAGUCAGGAAAGUGCUGCGCGUGGCGGUGGCCUCCCAGGAGCAAGGCGUGGCGGUGUAGGCAGGAAUGGAUGAGAGCGGCUCGGGGGGCCUCGGCCGCGUGCUCCCGGAG